UCAGGCCUAACACAUGCAAGUCGAACGAUAUAGUGGCAGACGGGUGAGUAACGCGUGGAAACGUGCCUUUCACUACGGAAUAGCUUUUGGAAACGAAAGGUAAUACCGUAUACGCCCUCCGGGGGAAAGAUUUAUCGGUGAAAGAUCGGUCCGCGUUAGAUUAGCUAGUUGGUGAGGUAACGGCUCACCAAGGCUACGAUCUAUAGCUGGUCUGAGAGGAUGAUCAGCCACACUGGGACUGAGACACGGCCCAGACUCCUACGGGAGGCAGCAGUGGGGAAUAUUGCACAAUGGGCGCAAGCCUGAUGCAGCCAUGCCGCGUGAAUGAUGAAGGCCUUAGGGUUGUAAAAUUCUUUCGCCAGGGAUGAUAAUGACAGUACCUGGUAAAGAAGCCCCGGCUAACUUCGUGCCAGCAGCCGCGGUAAUACGAAGGGGGCUAGCGUUGUUCGGAAUUACUGGGCGUAAAGCGCACGUAGGCGGACUUUUAAGUCAGAUGUGAAAUCCCGAGGCUCAACCUCGGAACUGCAUUUGAAACUGGGAGUCUAGAGAUCAGGAGAGGUUAGCGGAAUACCGAGUGUAGAGGUGAAAUUCGUAGAUAUUCGGUGGAACACCAGUGGCGAAGGCGGCUAACUGGACUGAUACUGACGCUGAGGUGCGAAAGUGUGGGGAGCAAACAGGAUUAGAUACCCUGGUAGUCCACACCGUAAACGAUGAGUGCUAGUUGUCUGCAGGCAUGCCUGUAGGUGACGCAGCUAACGCAUUAAGCACUCCGCCUGGGGAGUACGGCCGCAAGGUUAAAACUCAAAGAAAUUGACGGGGGCCCGCACAAGCGGUGGAGCAUGUGGUUUAAUUCGAAGCAACGCGCAGAACCUUACCUACGCUUGACAUGCCCGGACGAUUUCCAGAGAUGGAUCUCUCCCUUCGGGGCCGGUGCACAGGUGCUGCAUGGCUGUCGUCAGCUCGUGUCGUGAGAUGUUGGGUUAAGUCCCGCAACGAGCGCAACCCUCAUCCUUAGUUGCCAUCACGUUUGGGUGGGCACUCUAGGGAAACUGCCGGUGCUAAGCCGGAGGAAGGCGGGGAUGACGUCAAGUCCUCAUGGCCCUUACGCGUAGGGCUACACACGUGCUACAAUGGCAGUGACAAUGGGAUAAUCCCCAAAAGCUGUCUCAGUUCGGAUUGUCGGCUGCAACUCGCCGGCAUGAAGUUGGAAUCGCUAGUAAUCGUGGAUCAGCAUGCCACGGUGAAUACGUUCCCGGGCAUUGUACACACCGCCCGUAAUCGA
rnacentral:rRNA from 1 species